UUNGGAGCUCUCCCAUAUGGUCGACCUGCAGGCGGCCGCGAAUUCACUAGUGAUUAGAGUUUGAUCCUGGCUCAGGAUGAACGCUGGCGGCGUGCCUAACACAUGCAAGUCGAACGAAGCAAUUAAAGGAAGUUUUCGGAUGGAAUUUGAUUGACUGAGUGGCGGACGGGUGAGUAACGCGUGGAUAACCUGCCCCACACUGGGGGAUAACAGUUAGAAAUGACUGCUAAUACCGCAUAAGCGCACAGUGCCGCAUGGUACGGUGUGAAAAACUCCGGUGGUGUGAGAUGGAUCCGCGUCUGAUUAGCCAGUUGGCGGGGUAACGGCCCACCAAAGCGACGAUCAGUAGCCGACCUGAGAGGGUGACCGGCCACAUUGGGACUGAGACACGGCCCAAACUCCUACGGGAGGCAGCAGUGGGGAAUAUUGCACAAUGGGCGAAAGCCUGAUGCAGCGACGCCGCGUGAGUGAAGAAGUAUUUCGGUAUGUAAAGCUCUAUCAGCAGGGAAGAAAAUGACGGUACCUGACUAAGAAGCCCCGGCUAACUACGUGCCAGCAGCCGCGGUAAUACGUAGGGGGCAAGCGUUAUCCGGAUUUACUGGGCGUAAAGGGAGCGUAGACGGCGAAGCAAGUCUGAAGUGAAAACCCAGGGCUCAACCCUGGGACUGCUUUGGAAACUGUUUUGCUAGAGUGUCGGAGAGGUAAGUGGAAUUCCUANUGUAGCGGUGAAAUGCGUAGAUAUUANGAGGAACACCAGUGGCGAANGCGGCUUACUGGACGAUAACUGACGUUGAGGCUCGAAAGCGUGGGGAGCAAACAGGAUUAGAUACCCUGGNUAGUCCACGCCGUAAACGAUGAAANGCUAGGUGUUGGGGGGGCAAAGCCCUUCGGUGCCNUCGNNANCGCAGUAAGCAUNNCACCUGGGAGUACGUUCNCAAGANUGAAACUC
rnacentral:rRNA from 1 species